CAAAAUCGACGGAGAGAUUUUUUCAUUGGCCAUUAAAUUAAAUGCUCAAAUAAACAUAAUAACAUAAAUAAGAUGGCAAAUAAAAAUAAAAUAUCAAAGCAAUAUAACAUGAACAUAAAACUAGCUAAUCAAAAUAGGAAGAAACAAUUGAUAAAGUAGUAAACAUAAAGUCAACAAUUACAACUGAAAAAUAAAACAACAAUAAUAAAGUGAAGUGGUGAACAUACCGUAGCCAUACCUAUACCAAUCUAAAUAAGAAAUAAUAUCAAUGACACAAGCAACCAAAACAAAAGAAAUCAUGGCAUUUAGCUAAAAGGUGUGUCCCACAUUAAAAAANNN
rnacentral:lncRNA from 1 species